rnacentral:lncRNA from 1 species
GUUAAUGGACCAAUCACAACGGCCGGAUUUUAUUAAGCUUAAUUAGUUACGAGAUUAGUUUAAUCUUUGUAUUAAAUAUCAAUGUAUUACAAUACAAUUAAUUAAUUCAAUACAAAGUUAAUACUGGUAAAUACCAGAUUAAAGAAAUAAGUCUUAAACUGUCUUCUCCUCCUCCUUAACGACAGUUUAUUCCGGUAACGCCCCCUUUCUCCAGUGGGCGACGAACCCUAGCCAGCAAUCUGGCAACUCCGCAGCACUUCGACCAUCCUCGGCUUGAGGAAGGCACUACAUUGUCGGCCCUCCUCCGCAACCCCAAGUUUAUAGGGGCAUGGAGCAAGAAAAAUCUUUUGAAUAAAGAAAAUAUUUGUAAUGUCAAUAAAUAUUUUGUUAAAGAAUAGUUAUAAGAAAAAAAUUAUUAUUAAGAAAAAUUAUUAUUAAGGGAAAAAAGUUAUAAAAAUAUAGUGUAGGGUUAUUUAUUUUAUAAAACUAUUUUGGGUCGGAUUUUUUAUGGGUUGGAUACCUUAAAACCCGAACUUGUACAAUCUAGGGUAAUUUUGAUCUGGUUAGGGUUGGAGUUAGAGUCAAAAGUUUUGAGAGGAUGAAACAUUAGACCCAAAUUCUACCCGACCAUCUCGGGUUCGGGUUUUGCUCUACCUAAAUUUUUAAUAAAGAAAAAAAAUUGAUUCUAAGAAGCUAAACGAUUCUAGAUCGACAAAGUGGACAAGAUCUAUUCCUAUCAAAAAUCCAUUGAAACGCACAGGAAAUAUGAAAAAAAUGUUUACAAGGAAGCUCGACGACCAAGCAUUUCAUUCCUUCAAAUUCCUCCAAACAUAUUGCACACAUUGUCUGAUCGUUAAAAUCAUAAACAUCAUCGCCCCAGUUGAAUAUCGUAGAAUCCACGACUAGUUUCACUCGCAAAUCUCGCUCCAUAACCAUAUCAUUCUCUUCUAAAAGCUUGUCAUAUGAAAAAGCAAACAAUUCAUAGUUUAAUCUGAUCGACACAAUCAAAAAUUCCGUCGAUCCAACUCCCUGGGUUUCAUAGUAUAGGAAGCGAGAAAGCGCAUUUUCGAUUCUAUUCAUUACUUGUUCGUUAACGUGAACGUAGCGAACGAUAUCUUGAACGGUUUCCUUAGUGGAAUCGAAGGAACCAAAAUGUUUGUCGAUUUCAGAAAUCAGAUUGGGUACGAAUGACGAUAAACUAGUUAUUGAUUGUGGUAACGACAAAGAUGAGUUCCUAAUGAUGUGUUUUCUGUCAACGAUUACUUCCAUGAUUACCGGCUGGAAUGUAAUUGCAUCAUUGUUGUUCAGUUCCCUUCGUUUUGAUUUGAAUUCACAGACGACUGUAUAUUUCUUGUUGGCGAAUUCGACUUUCUCUGAUGAAUCCCAUGCACUUUUGAGUGUAGAAGAUGCCAUUGUUCAAGUUACUUUUUGA